GACGAACGCUGGCGGCGUGCUUAACACAUGCAAGUCGAACGGAAAGGCCCUGCUUUUGUGGGGUGCUCGAGUGGCGAACGGGUGAGUAACACGUGAGUAACCUUCCCUUGACUUUGGGAUAACUUCAGGAAACUGGGGCUAAUACCGGAUAGGAGCUCCUGCUGCAUGGUGGGGGUUGGAAAGUUUCGGCGGUUGGGGAUGGACUGGCGGGUUAUCAGCUUGUUGGUGGGGUAGUGGCUUACCAAGGCUUUGACGGGUAGCCGGCCUGAGAGGGUGACCGGCGACAUUGGGACUGCGGUAGGGACCAGUCGCGUACGGGGGGCAGUGGGGGGGAGUAUUGCACAACGGGCGGGAGCGUGUUGCAGCAACGCCGCGUGCGGGAUGAAGGCCUUGGGGUGGUAAACCGCUUUCGCCUGUGACGAAGCGGGAGUGACGGUAAUGGGUAAAGAAGCACCGGCUAACUACGUG
rnacentral:rRNA from 1 species